rnacentral:rRNA from 1 species
AUUGAACGCUGGCGGCAUGCCUUACACAUGCAAGUCGAACGGCAGCACGGGUGCUUGCACCUGGUGGCGAGUGGCGAACGGGUGAGUAAUACAUCGGAACAUGUCCUGUAGUGGGGGAUAGCCCGGCGAAAGCCGGAUUAAUACCGCAUACGAUCUACGGAUGAAAGCGGGGGACCUUCGGGCCUCGCGCUAUAGGGUUGGCCGAUGGCUGAUUAGCUAGUUGGUGGGGUAAAGGCCUACCAAGGCGACGAUCAGUAGCUGGUCUGAGAGGACGACCAGCCACACUGGGACUGAGACACGGCCCAGACUCCUACGUGAGGCAGCAGUGGGGAAUUUUGGACAAUGGGCGAAAGCCUGAUCCAGCAAUGCCGCGUGUGUGAAGAAGGCCUUCGGGUUGUAAAGCACUUUUGUCCGGAAAGAAAUCCUUGGCCCUAAUACGGUCGGGGGAUGACGGUACCGGAAGAAUAAGCACCGGCUAACUACGUG